AUUGAACGCUGGCGGCAUGCUUUACACAUGCAAGUCGAACGGUAACAGGCCUUCGGGUGCUGACGAGUGGCGAACGGGUGAGUAAUGCAUCGGAACGUACCCAGAGGUGGGGGAUAACGCAGCGAAAGCUGUGCUAAUACUGCAUGUGAUCUGAGGAUGAAAGCGGGGGACCGAGCAGCAAUGUUUGGCCUCGCGCCUUUGGAGCGGCCGAUGUCGGAUUAGCUAGUUGGUGGGGUAAAGGCCUACCAAGGCGACGAUCCGUAGCUGGUCUGAGAGGGCGACCAGCCACACGGGGAGUGAGACACGGCCCAGACUCCUACGGGAGGCAGCAGUGGGGAAUUUUGGAAGAUGGGCGCAAGCCUGAUCCAGCAAUGCCGCGUGCGGGAAGAAGGCCUUCGGGUUGUAAACCGCUUUUGGCAGGAACGAAACGGUGUCCGCUAAUACCGGGCGCUAAUGACGGUACCUGCAGAAUAAGCACCGGCUAACUACGUG
rnacentral:rRNA from 1 species